GUGUUAUUGGUUUGUUUUGUUUUUGUUCCUGUUUCUACCGAGCGUUUUGCGUUUGCCCCUUGUGUCUUUGUGCAGGGAUCUUCAGAUGAUGGGCAGUAUACAAAAAAACAACAACUUUUGAAUGUUUUUAAAUACAGUGGUACCUCGGGUUAAGAACUUAAUUUGUUCUGGAAGUCCGUUCUUAACCUGAAACUGUUCAUAACCUGAGGUACCACUUUAGCUAAUGGGGCCUCCCGCUGCUGCCGUGCCACCGCUGCACAAUUUCUGUUCCCAUCCUGAAGCAAAGUUCUUAACCCGAGGUACUAUUUCUGGGUUAGCGGAGUCUGUAACCUGAAGUGUCUGUAACCCAAGGUACCACUGUAGCUGUUU
rnacentral:lncRNA from 1 species